GAUGAACGCUGGCGGCGUGCUUAACACAUGCAAGUCGAACGGUGAAGCCCAGCUUGCUGGGUGGGUUAGUGGCGCACGGGUGAGUAACACGUGAGCAUCCUGCCCCUUACUCUGGGAUAUGCGCUGGAAACGGCGUCUCUAACUCGAUAUGUCACGUCACCCCCCGGUGUGCGGGUGGGAAGAUUUUGCGGUUGGGGAUGGGCUCGCGGCCUAUCAGCUUGUUGGUGGGGUAAUGGCUCACCAAGGCGUCGACGGGUAGCCGGCCUGAGAGGGUGACCGGCCACACUGGGACUGAGACACGGCCCAGACUCCUACGGGAGGCAGCAGUGGGGAAUAUUGCACAAUGGGCGGAAGCCUGAUGCAGCAACGCCGCGUGAGGGAUGACGGCCUUCGGGUUGUAAACCGCUUUUGGCAGGGAAGAAGCGAAAGUUACGGUACCGGCAGAAGAAGCACCGGCUAACUACGUG
rnacentral:rRNA from 1 species